CACGUAGGGCGCAAGCGUUGUCCGGAAUUAUUGGGCGUAAAGAGCUCGUAGGCGGUCUGUUACGUCUGCUGUGAAAACCCAGGGCUUAACCCCUGGGCUUGCAGUGGAUACGGGCAGACUAGAGGCAGGUAGGGGAGAAGUGAAUUCCCGGUGUAGCGGUGAAAUGCGCAGAUAUCAGGAGGAACACCGGUGGCGAAGGCGGGUCUCUGGGCAACAACUGACGCUGAGGAGCGAAAGCGUGGGGAGCGAACAGG
rnacentral:rRNA from 1 species